UUGGUUUCCCAGGGGGCAGUGCUGAGCUCUUUGCCAGUGGGAAAUGGGAUGCUGGUGAUUUGCAGUAGGUGACCUCACAGUGACUCAAGCUACCACUUACUGUUGAUUGUGACGAAAUGCCAGCUGAGGCACAUUGCCUUGGGAGCUAAGUGGUUGCUGCCCUUGACCACUGUGAAGACUGGUGUGGGAAGGGUCGCUUUGGAUGCACUUGAACAGGGGUCCCCAACCCCUGAGCCAUGGAGCCGCAAGGAGCCACACAGCAGGAGGUGGGACCAUCCAGUUGCAGGAAAACAAGCUUAACACGCCCACUGAUUCUACAUUAUG
rnacentral:antisense_RNA from 1 species